rnacentral:lncRNA from 1 species
AUAUUGCUCCAAAGUGACUGAUUCGUUAUGUCCUAAUACCCCCCGUCAAUGCAGGGCGGCGGUGGUCCAAGACGAAGCAUUAUGCGAAAUUUUUCAAACAACGGUUUUGGUAGAAUUUUGGUGAAAAUGUCCGCUACUUGUUUAUCCGUUGAGAUGAAUUUGGGGUGAAGUUUUCCGGCAGCUACCAACUCACGAAUAAAGUGAUAGUCGAUGUCGAUGUGCUUGGCUCUUUUAUGUGAGAUCGGGUUUUGACUUAAAAAUAAGGCACUCUUGUUGUCACAUAAUAAGGUGGGGCGUCCUCGUGGUAGAGCAUGAAGUUCCCGAAGCAAGUGUGUUACCCAAAUAAUUUCUGCUGUCGUAUUCGCCAUUGCUCUAUAUUCUGACUCACAACUUGACAGGGAAAUCGUUGGUUGCUUUUUGGCGCUCCAAGAGACUAAGUUCCCUCCUAAAUAGAUACAGUAGCCGUAUCUGGAUCUUCGUGUGUCGAUACAUCGUACCCAAUCUGCAUCUGAAAAACCUAAUAAAUUAGUGUUAGGAGGUGGAUCAAAUGUUAGACCAUGUGAUAAGGUGCCUUUAACAUAACGAAUAAUCCUUUUGACUAGCUGGAAAUGAUUGGUGGUGGGAUUUUAAAGGUAUUGGCUACCUUGGUUAACGGCGUACAAGAGAUUAGGACGAGUGAUGGUGAGAUAUUGUAGAGCGCCCACGAGUGAUCGAUAAAGAGUGGGAUCAUGGAAUGUUUGGCCUUGAGAAGUGAAAACAUCUUUAGAUGUGAGAGGAGUGGCAACCGGUUUUGAUUCAAGUAGGCCGGCUCGGGUGAGGAUGUCAUGAGCGUAUUUGGAUUGAUUUAGGAAGAGGCCCGUUUUUGUGUGAUGAACUUCUAAACCAAGAAAGAAGUUAAGCAAUCCAAGGUCCUUAAUUUUGAAUUCCUUGUUUAGACAUGAUGUAAAGUUGCUAAUGAAAGGUUCAUUAUUCCCGGUAAGAAUGAUGUCGUCAACAUAAACGAGGAGAUAAAUUAAGAUGCCUCGGUGAUUGUAAAUGAACAAAGAUAGAUCGGCUCGACUGUUUUGAAAGCCACGGUUGAGUAGAAAAGCACUUAGGCGAUGGAACCACGCACGUGGGGCUUGUUUUAAGCAAUAAAGAGCACAAUUUAGUUUGCACACAUGCGUUGGACGUUUGGAAUCUUCAAAACCCGGAGGUUGUUCCAUGAAGAUAGUUUCGGUUCCAUUUGUUGAUAGUGGCAAGACCAAGGACAACACGGAUGGUGGCAGAUUUGAUGACAGGACUAAAGGUCUGUGAGAAAUCAAGUCCCGGUAUUUGAGUGAAACCUUGAGCAACAAGUCGGGCUUUGUAGCGAUCAAUAGAUCCGUCGGACUUAUAUUUAAUUCUAUAUAUCCAUU